rnacentral:rRNA from 1 species
CCCUAGUGGUUUCAUAAUUGCAAUGAGAACAUUUUAAAUACUUUAUCAAGUAUCAAUUGGAGGGCAAGUCUGGUGCCAGCAGCCGCGGUAAUUCCAGCUCCAAUAGCGUAUAUUAAAGUUGUUGCAGUUAAAAAGCUCGUAGUUGAAAUUGGGGAACGUGAAGAAUUUGAGAUCUACGAUCAAAAAAUCUUUGCUCCUUCAUCGUCGUGUAUAUCAGCUGAGUUCUUUAUUGAAUUUAGUUGGUAACCGACAAGUUUACUUUGAAAAAAUUAGAGUGCUUAAAGCAAGCUUAUGCUUGUAUAUUGUUGCAUGGAAUAAUAAAAUAGGACUUCGGUUUUAUUUUGUUGGUUUUCGAAACUGAAGUAAUGAUUAAAAGAAACUGCCGGGGGCAUAUGUAUGCUGGUGCUAGAGGUGAAAUUCUUAGACCAUCAGCAGACAAACUACUGCGAAAGCAUUUGCCAAGAAUGUUUUCAUUAAUCAAGAACGAAAGUCAGAGGAUCGAAGACGAUCAGAUACCGUCCUAGUUCUGACCAUAAACUAUGCCAACUGACAGUUAGCUAAGGAAAUUUAUUAAUCCUUGCUAGAAGUCACCGGGAAACCUAAGUCUAUGGGUUCCGGGGGAAGUAUGGUUGCAAAGCUGAAACUUAAAGGAAUUGACGGAAGGGCACCACCAGGAGUGGAGCCUGCGGCUUAAUUUGACUCAACACGGGAAAUCUCACCCGGUCCGGACACUGUGAGGAUUGACAGAUUGAUAGCUCUUUC